AACGAACGCUGGCGGCAUGCCUAACACAUGCAAGUCGAACGAGACCUUCGGGUCUAGUGGCGCACGGGUGCGUAACGCGUGGGAACCUGCCCUUAGGUUCGGAAUAACUCCCCGAAAGGGGUGCUAAUACCGGAUAAUGUCUUCGGACCAAAGAUUUAUCGCCUUUGGAUGGGCCCGCGUUGGAUUAGCUAGUUGGUAGGGUAAAAGCCUACCAAGGCGACGAUCCAUAGCUGGUCUGAGAGGAUGAUCAGCCACACUGGGACUGAGACACGGCCCAGACUCCUACGGGAGGCAGCAGUGGGGAAUAUUGGAAAAUGGGCGAAAGCCUGAUCCAGCAAUGCCGCGUGAGUGAUGAAGGCCUUAGGGUUGUAAAGCUCUUUUACCCGGGAUGAUAAUGACAGUACCGGGAGAAUAAGCACCGGCUAACUCCAUG
rnacentral:rRNA from 1 species